GGCCCAGCAGGGCACCUAGCUGAUGCUAGAGAAAGAUCCAAGGACUUCCCUGGUUAAGUGACUUCAGUGGUUACGACGCCAUGCUUCCAAUGCAGGAGGCACAGAUUUGAUCCCUGGUUCGGGGAACUAAGAUCUCACAUACCACGUGCUGUUGUUGUUUAAUCACUUAAGUCGUAUCCAAUUCUUUGCGACCUCCAAAAAAUGAUAAAGAAAAAAAAAAUUAGGGAAAGAUCCAGGCAUCCAGGAAUGUGUGAGUACUUAUAUAAGAGUAUGUGCUCAGGCAGGCCACCCAGCUGGCUGAUGACUAAUGUCUGGGGACUGCCUUUGACUUGUCUUGCUGUAGUGGUAGCGUGUGUAUGUGUGUUGAUCCCCUCAAGUGCAGCCCCCAAGGACCUGAGAAUUCAGCCUGAAGUUGAGGCAGCUGUUUGUGCUAGUUGGCUGUGGUCACCCGAGGGGAGGUGGAGUGGCUGAGAUGGGCCGCCACCUAGUGACGGGCCUUUAAAGUAGGAGGGAGGGAAUGCAAGUUGACCCAAUGCCCGGCCCAGCAUUACAAGGUUUGCAACACGUGGUCACACCUGAUCCUUAUAAUUACUCUAAUCAGGGAUUAUUGUUCCCAGUUUACUGAUGAGAAACAGAUUCAGAGAAGUUCUGCGGCUUGCCUUAAGGCCACAUAAUUAACCAGUGAGGAUUUGAACCCCAAUCUAUCUGACACCAUGCAUUUUCUUCCUCAUAGGGGAGCCUCUAGCUUCAGUAGGUGCCGGUGGACAGUGGGCACAUAGGCUAGCUGGCUACUCAGCAAGGGUGAGGGGAAGCCCUUGGCAUGGCUGGCCCUGGGCACAGGAAGCGUGAGUGCAGAGCUUGAGCGCUCAUAGUGUGUGGCUUGGGCUUGCUGGGGCUUGCUGUGGUGCUCGUCCCUGUCUGCAGCCUUGAGCUUCUCUAUGCUCAGUGUCAGUGCCAUGAGUCGGAAGAACAAGAGAAACUCAGCACUGGGCCCCAAGGAAUUCACAGAUUUAAGACAGAAGGAAAAACUGAGGCCCAGAGAGAUUAAGCUAAGAGGCAGCAGAGAUGGGAUUCAGGCCCAUCCAGAGUCCACAUGACGUUGCCUUCCACCUAGGCCUGCUGCGACCACCCAGGAUGUCCUACAGCCGUUCUUGACCAGCAUCUAGUUGCUCUGCACCUGCCCUCAGAAGAAUGGUCUUUGCCAGGAAAGACCACCCAGGAUGUCCCAAUGCAUUUGCAGUGCGCACAGCAGAAGACAGAGGACACUCUUAAGUGUGCAAUGUAGGAACUGCAUGUGAGAGCUGACAACGCUCUUGGAGCCCCAUCACCCUUCCCAAGCCAGCAGGCGGCCUUUAAGAAGGGCGUGGUGCUUACCAAGCCACGGUGAUCCUUGGGUCCAAAUAAUUGAGUUUAGAGGUUCCCAAAGCAAUCUGUUUAUUCUCCUCUCGGUCUGUGGCCUGAACUUCGAGCUUCAUCAGCUGUUCCUCCAGCCUCUGGACAGCUUUCUUCUUUGACUCUACAACCCUGGAAGAAAGGAAGUCAUCAGGAACUGGGCCUGGCCUCUGGACAGGAGCACAGUAUCCCCACACUGCCACCCAGGGGCAGUAAAAGCAGAAAAGCCACAGGCCCAAACAUUUCUAGAAUGUCACUCAGAAACCCUAGGAAAGCUAGGACCUCUGGUUGAUGCUGGGACCCUUUUCCUCUCUCACCCAACCCCCAGCUUUGCAUCACACCAGGCACGUACUUCUUGGUCUUUGCAUCCUUCAGGACUUUAGCAUCAGCCUUAGCACUUUUCAGGUCUCUCCGGGCAUCUGCUAGCUGUUCCUUCUUCGCAUCAAUCUGGAUAGGGAAGAACAACAGUAAAUUCAGGAAUAAAAUAAGUCCAAAGAGAAAACAGGAUUCCUUAAGAGAAGAUGUCUUCACCAAGUAGGCUGUUCUUGAUAAAACGCCCAGGGGUGGCUUCAUGACGGCACAGAGUGGGUAUGCAGCGGGUGCUGAAUUCCAGGACCAUUUAUAUUCUUCAGUCACCCUUGAAGAAAUGAAGGUUUUAUGGCAAUGACUCUGGGACCCAUUAAUCCAGAAACUCAGGGAAAGAACCCACUGGGACUGGGAGUGUGGGUACUAAUCUUUCAAUCAGGGAACACUUUGGUUUUAGAUACUGGGAAGAGGAUGACAGGUGAAAGCUGUUCAUCAAAUGGAUCCUGUGCCAGGUUGUCACCUCCAUCCCAAGAAUCCUGCAGGAGAUACUGUUUAUGAAGCUGAGACAAGAGUCGCUAUAUCUACUGAGCUCAGCUCAUUCCUCGGAUUCUACCAGCACUCUGAGAAGAGCUGCUAAUUCCUCCAGAAAAAAAAAAAAAGAUGCACUGAAGAGAAUACCCAAGGGACUAGAAAAUGGCAAUUAAAAGGUACCCAGGAAGCCAAACCACUUAGCCUCAUCUGUUCCAAGCCAAUAUGUGGCAUGGCCUGGCUCUGGCAUUCCAUUUUUAAAAGGCGAGAAAGCUGAGACAGAAUGGAAAUUCAAAUAGUUAUCAUUCAAAGCAGAUUUGAAAACUUUUUAGCUAUGGAGCUCUUUCUCCAAAUGAAAUCUCCUGGGGCCCCAAUCUUUAGAGACAGUCGCAGCCUCUCUUGCUUGAGAGCGCUGGUUCUGCGUUCUCAGUUCCCACUUGAGGAUAGCAGCAGGCAACACCGUGAGGCUGGGGCCCCAGAGUGGUGAGCUCACAGCUGGGGCAGGCGAACCCUGACCUGCUAUCACCGUGCUAACCCUAAGAUCAGGGGAACCUCUGCAGAAUAAAUGCACGCCCGACUCCUAUACACUGGGCUGUUGCUCUCAGCCUGGCAUUGUCUGUUAGAUUUACACACACAGCCCAAGACUGGAAACACAGGCCAUCAUUGUGAGAGAAUCAUUAAAUGCAUUUUACUACGAAUGGCUUACUUCCAACAUCUAUGUUGUCCAAAGUCAAACUGAAGGAACUGACUCUACACAAAAGCGUCACAGAUACCACUAGCCAGAUUCUUCUUAGGCUAGAAAUGCAACAAACCACAAUCUUUUAACCAUUUCUGUGAA